GUGAGGAAUAUUGGUCAAUGGGCGCAAGCCUGAACCAGCCAUGCCGCGUGCAGGAAGACGGUCCUAUGGAUUGUAAACUGCUUUUAUUUGGGAAUAAACUCCGGUACGUGUACCGGCCUGAAGGUACCAAAUGAAUAAGCACCGGCUAACUCCGUGCCAGCAGCCGCGGUAAUACGGAGGGUGCAAGCGUUAUCCGGAAUCAUUGGGUUUAAAGGGUCCGCAGGCGGUCUUAUAAGUCAGUGGUGAAAGCCUACAGCUCAACUGUAGAACUGCCAUUGAUACUGUAGGACUUGAAUUCGAACGAAGUGGGCGGAAUGUGACAUGUAGCGGUGAAAUGCUUAGAUAUGUCACAGAACACCGAUAGCGAAGGCAGCUCACUAGGUCUGGAUUGACGCUCAGGGACGAAAGCGUGGGGAGCAAACAGGAUUAGAAACCCGUGUAGUCC
rnacentral:rRNA from 1 species